rnacentral:rRNA from 1 species
AGGAGGCAGCAGUGAGGAAUUUUGCGCAAUGGGCGAAAGCCUGACGCAGCAACGCCGCGUGGAGGAUGAAGGUUCUCUGAAUCGUAAACUCCUGUCGGCCGGGACGAAUGAACGGGGUGCUAAUCAGCUCCGUUUUGACUGUACCGGCAAAGGAAGCCCCGGCUAACUCCGUGCCAGCAGCCGCGGUAAUACGGAGGGGGCAAGCGUUACUCGGAAUUAUUGGGCGUAAAGGGCGCGUAGGCGGUCGUGUGCGUCGGAGGUGAAAUCCCCGGGCUUAACCCGGGAGCUGCCUCCGAUACGGCAUGGCUUGAGUCCGGGAGAGGGGAGCAGAAUUCCCAGUGUAGCGGUGAAAUGCGUAGAUAUUGGGAGGAAUACUAGCGGCGAAGGCGGCUCCCUGGACCGGUACUGACGCUGAUGCGCGAAAGCGUGGGUAGCAAACAGGAUUAGAUACCCUUGUAGUCC